rnacentral:rRNA from 1 species
AACGAACGCUGGCGGCAUGCCUAACACAUGCAAGUCGAACGAAGCCUUCGGGCUUAGUGGCGCACGGGUGCGUAACGCGUGGGAAUCUGCCCUUGGGUUCGGAAUAACAGUUAGAAAUGACUGCUAAUACCGAAUGAUGUCUUCGGACCAAAGAUUUAUCGCCCAAGGAUGAGCCCGCGUCGGAUUAGCUAGUUGGUGAGGUAAAGGCUCACCAAGGCGACGAUCCGUAGCUGGUCUGAGAGGAUGAUCAGCCACACUGGGACUGAGACACGGUCCAGACUCCUACGGGAGGCAGCAGUGGGGAAUUUUGGACAAUGGGCGCAAGCCUGAUCCAGCCAUGCCGCGUGAGUGAAGAAGGCCUCGGUUGUAAGAC